rnacentral:rRNA from 1 species
UCCUAACCGUGCAAAGGUAGCGUAAUCAUUUGUCCUCUAAAUAAGGACCAGUAUGAACGGCUAAAUGCGGACCAACCUGUCUCCUUUAAUCUACCAGUGAAACUGAUCUACCAGUACAAAAGCUGGUAUAACACUAUAAGACGAGAAGACCCUGUGGAGCUUAAAAUUAUAAUUAUUUCACACUAACCUCUAACUUCAUAAGUCUUGACACUAUAAUUUUCAGUUGGGGCGACUUCGGAACUAAACCAAACUUCCAAGCAAAAAGACCUAAAUCUUAACCAAGACUAACAAGUCAAUAAAUUGACCCAGUAAAACUGAUCAACGAACCAAGUUACCCCAGGGAUAACAGCGCAAUCUUCUUCAAGAGUCCAUAUCGACAAGAAGGUUUACGACCUCGAUGUUGGAUCAGGACACCCAAUUGGUGCAGCCGCUAUUAAAGGUUCGUUUGUUCAACGAUUAACAGUCCUACGUGAUCUGAG